rnacentral:ncRNA from 2 species
CUCUUAUCAAGAGCGACCGAGGGACAGGCCCUAUGACGUCCGGCAACCUCUAAGUUUUUACUUAGUCGGUGCUAAAUCCUGCAGAGCAAUAAGCUCUGGAAGAUAAGAG